rnacentral:rRNA from 1 species
GGCUUAACACAUGCAAGUCGAGGGGUAACGAGAGGAAAGCUUGCUUUCCUUGUCGACGACCGGCGCACGGGUGAGUAACGCGUAUCCAACCUGCCCCCAACUAAGGAAUAACCUUGCGAAAGUAAGACUAAUACCUUAUAAUUUCCUCAGAUGCCAUCUGACGAGGAAUAAAGAUUUAUCGGUUGUGGAUGGGGAUGCGUCUGAUUAGCUUGUUGGCGGGGUAACGGCCCACCAAGGCAACGAUCAGUAGGGGUUCUGAGAGGAAGGUCCCCCACAUUGGAACUGAGACACGGUCCAAACUCCUACGGGAGGCAGCAGUGAGGAAUAUUGGUCAAUGGGCGGAAGCCUGAACCAGCCAAGUAGCGUGAAGGAUGACGG